AUAUGGCUGUUAAUGGUUUGGUCGGAACCCACUUCCUUAUCUUUUAAUCUGCAUUUAUGCCCCACGAACGUAGGUCCGUUACCCCCUUUCAGCUUCAGUUUCCCGUCGCCUCCCUUUAUAGUGACCUGCCAUGACGUUUCCUCUUCUUGGAUUCAAUUGCUUAGGUCCGACUUCUGUUAGCUAGAUGAGCCACUGGUGUAAUUCUUCCUGAAGUAAUAGAUGUUGACAUGGAUGACGACUAUGAGGAUAUUAUGCUUUUGGAUACAGAAGUGGACACAAAGAGGAAGGGCAAGAUGUCAUAGCGAGGGGGGUUGUUUUGGCCAAUAAUGGGC